AUGAAGCGUAGGCGUCAUUUCGACCUCUGUUCCCAGGCAAGAGUCAGCAGUGCUAGCUCCUUGUCCUCUCACUUUCUUUUGGCCCCUCACCCAGUCAGCAAAUGUCCCUUGUCCACCCCGUCAAGGUGGCAGACGCUGUGCUGGGAGCAAGGAGGACCACUCAGCGCUACCAGUUCACAGAACGGACUUGUGUUGGAGACGAUGGACGACAGAGGAGGAAUUCAGUGAGGGUCCCUUCAGAGGAAAGUGAGCGAUCACAUCCCUGUGGGAACCGGGGUGCUGCCCCUGAGGGCGGCAUUCAAGGCUGGCUGCAGUGAACCGCCAGAGAGAGCGGGGCACGAAGAUUCUUCUGCUCAGUUGCUGUACUCAUGCGCUGUUCUUCUGGGAAGAGAGAGCGUAUGGACCCUAAUGAGUUCAUUAUGUGUUCUUUUGCACCCUGGCUGAGUAUUACUAGCGUGCUAGAGAAGGACAGCAAGGCAAGCGGGUGACCCGGCUUUGCCAGUCGACGUGCAGUCUAGCUGAGAAAUCUGGUCUUAUGUUCAUGGCUUGCAUCCAAAGAAAGACACUCGAGAACCUUUCAAAGACAGUUUCUAUCUUCUCAAGGCUGGAAGCUGCACGCUACCCUCUUAGAGUUGUAGUUCCUUUCUGGAUGCAGGUAAAUUCACACCUGCCGCCUCGUCUCGGGAGCAGAAAUGUAAUCGAGGUUUUCCACGCUGCCGAGUUUAUUUAAAUUCUUCCAGUUCUGUGAGAUUUUUAUUAUUUUUUAAAAAUGUAAUCUGAGCACUUUUUUUUAAUAUUCUAUAAAAGAGGCUAUUACCAAAUGAAUAUAUUAUUCAUUUGAUUAAAAUUAUUUAGAUAAGAAAUUAUUAGUUUAUCUUUGCUUUCAGACAACGUAUCCUAUUUUUUAUCCAUUUUGCAAAAUAUCGCUUGUGUGCGGUUUUUUAACAUAGCAGAAUCUAUUAUGUAAAUGAACCUUUUCAGAUAUCUGAGCAGUAUCUGGUUUGAUUUUAUAGGCUUUAUUCUACUGCAGUGUGAAUAAAAAUGAGAAUAUGAUGUCCA
rnacentral:lncRNA from 1 species